rnacentral:lncRNA from 1 species
CCGGUGUGAGGAGUCUACUCCUCUACCUCUAGACAUGCAGCUGUUUGGCUGAGGGGUUUGGUUUGCCAAAAGCACUAGCUGAAUCUAAAAUCAAGUUUUAGCUUUUCAAGUUUUAGUAUGCUCCUUUUUAAACUAGAUGAGUACCUAGCUACUCAUACAUGGUAUCAAACAUUUUUAGCAAUCAACAUCUUUUGCCAGUCAACUCAUUUCCACUUAUUACUCAAUGCAGUACAAUGGAUCAAGCAGUCUCAUUAGCUGCGAGAAGCAGACGAUUCGAAUCGAGUUUUUAUCCUUGCAAGGUAAACCUAAACACACGACAUGUAAGGGCACUCCGUCCCCACACACAUCAACCGUCCCCAUCGAUUCCUCGUCAGCAGAUCAGGGCUCACCGCCUUGGCGUACAAUGCCUCACUGACCCCGACUGCCGUCGUGCAGUGACCGCACUUGUACCCACCAUAACCGGAAUGGGAGACCACGUCUCAGGUCGCGUGAGGGGUAAAGUCCACUGCCAGGUUCAAUCAGGUACUAGGCUUGCCGAUUUACCAUAUUUCUCGGCAUGUGUUUAGUACGUUCAAACGCUUGACACAGGUAUCCGCAUGUUAAUCCUUAUUCCAAUUUUCAUCUCGUAGACCACGCGUCCCCAUGGACCCGUGUCCACAGACCAUCACCAUUCUGUUAUCAAAGUGGAUACAACCAAUUCCUGACCUCGCGCGAGUGCUAGAAAAAUCACUCGACUUCUACCGAGAUCCUAAUUAGUAAAGCAGCUACUCGACCUAGCAUACUAGUAUCCAUCUCAAAAAGGAAUCCUGAGUUCAUGCAACUAGGGUUUCAGGCAACUCCUACACUUAAGUGCACAAUACAAGCCUACAAACAUUAAGUGUAGUAAAAUAGCAUAUAUAAACGGUUAUGCAUAAAAUCGGGGCUUGCCUUUAAUUUAACACUUAGGUAGUGUUUGCCGGGGGGGAGGUACUCGCUUGGCGAGCAUCCACUGGUUAUGUCCAUCCUUCCUUGGGUCGUCCACCGACUGCAUCUUGUGGGUGGCACCACAUCACUUUCACGAUCGUCAUCUCUCGGUCCUAAAUGAGGUGCAAGAUGCAUAUGUAUGAAUAUAAUGAAAGUAGCACAAAAAUAGCACAAGGUAUACCAAGACACGGUGGCGAACUAAACUAAACAUUAGUUAGUAAGACACUGCAACAACUAUACGCAAACACUAGUUAUUUAUGUGUCAUUGGGCACACGUAAACAUUACCACUGGAAAGACGACGAUCACGACUUUUAAUUAACCAACACAACAGGACAUCAUACAUAUGAACAUUUAUUUAACUUGCUACAACUUUUCCUUAGUUCUCCUAUUGACCACACAAGAGCAACCAAGACAACAUACGUUUAAACAGGACAUAGGCAUCAAUAACAACAAAACUUAUAUCCACAACCAACUACAGCAAGCAAGCACAUUAAACACGGAACACAUGUUAACCUAAGUUUAGCCAUCACAAGUCUAUAUCCGUUAAGCGCUAACUAAGCAUUUUUAGCCAAAAUGGUGAACUAAACAUUCAUUUGAGCACGUGCAGAUUUUUAGGACAGCAGCACAGCAGUUACUUGUUUUAAUCAUAACUUUUCAAAUAUUAAUCCAAAAAUAGUACACUAUGACUUUCUGGAAAGUUUAGAAAGUGCUCUACAAUUUUGGUAUUUUCAUCACAACAUGAUUCAACACUUAGCAAAGUCGAAUUGUGCAAACACAGCAGCUCUGUCCAGAUUUGGACAGAUUCAGGUUUGCAACUUCAAAAAUUCACAACUGAAGAUUCAGACAUCCAAACAAAGUGAUCCUAGACUUUCUGGAAAGGUAAUGAAAUUGUCCACAUAUCAUUUAUAAUCAUCUCAAGGUGAUUCAGUAUUUAACUAAGGAUAAAAGGCACUAGAAGGCUUUGCUGUCCAGAAUUGGACAGAUUCAGUCUUCAGACUUUAAACAUCCAUAACUUAAUUUUCAGAUCACCAAAAAUAGUGAUCCAAGACUUUUUGGAAAGCUUAGAAAAAGCACUACAUAACUUUUAUAAUCACCAAGAAGUGAUUCCAGUUUUAAUCAAAUCAAAUAUUACAGUUUUCGAAAUCUGUUCUGACAGAGGACAGAACACAGCAAUCAGUUUGUAAAUUUCAUAACUCUUAAACCGUCAGGCCUAUGGCUGUCAAAUUUUAACACCAGCAAGAUAAUAAAGUUAUCUACCACUUUUCUAUAGCACAUAUCUACAGAAAACACAAUUUAGUUCAUCAAACAUACAGCACAACUAAAACAGCGCGUGCAGUCCAAAACAGCAAUCAAUAAAUUUCAGCUCCUAUAUAAUUCAAGAAUCAGUCGUGUUCUAGAGACUUGAAUUAUUCUAACACUUCACCGUUGGUUAGAGUUAAAUUAGUCAAAUUAGGACCAUCAAGUUGACUCAUAAAUUUUAUCCAAGUCAUUUCGUGCUCUAGAUUUACCAUACUCAAUUAACCACGCGUUCUCCACGAUAAUCAACAUUGAAGCGCUUUUCACCCAAUAAUUUGCAUUUUAACUUAGACAUCACCUGAGCACUACUACUUUUCAUUCGCAACCAUAACCAUACACAUUUAGACCACAACAAGCAAUUCAUCGCGACUACAAACUUAACCAAAGCCAUCUAACAAGUCGGCUAGCCAGAGUAACAAUCUAGGCCGCUACACAUCCUACACGUCGGCUUGCAUAUUAUCAUCGCAAUCCGAGACAACACAUAUAUAACAAUCACUUAACGAAUUUGACUCCUAUUCAGCAUUAGUUGGCUAAUUACAGCAUAAGACUUAGCAACCCAUUUAGACAUUGCAACUCAAAACAUGGGUGGGAGCAGAUUAAUUAACGUUUCUUAACCUUUUCUUCAACUUAAACAAGACAACACACAAGUCACAUAGAACACCAUAUUUUAGGAGGUCUAAUAUAGAGGCAUUAACGUCUGGCAUAAAACUCCAUAAGACUUACUUGCUACUGAAAGACCUAAAGCACUUAGGUGCAUAUGUUAUCAGAUUGUUCUUCAAUUUUAACAAGGAUUGACUCAUGAACGCUACUUGCCCCAAUAAUUAUUGGGCUGCGAUAACACUCGUAUAAGACUUCUAAUCGAUCAACAAGACAUUUAUUUAUCCAAGGGGCAUGGAAUGUGAUGAUUGACAAAGCGAAGCAUCACAUUGCCAUACCACAAAAAUCAUGACAACUUCGAGAUACUACCCACGAAUCGUUUGAAAAUUAAACUUACUUCUCGCCUGCCACUACAUCACUCCUUAAUCACAUAACCAUCACGAGCAUCCUUCGCACGAUUAUAUAAUAGCGACCUAAACGUCGUGUUACACAAUACAUACAUCUUUCCUCGUCGCGAGUAUAACCAUAUUACGGCAUAUACCCGCGCACCUCAAAUAAAUAUCUCACGCCACCACUACUAUAUCACACCACGGCACACACACACCUACGUGCACUAAUUAAAUCCUCGCAUCCCUUGUAUUACUAGACUUACCUAUCACAUAAAACAAGAACGACACAUUUGUUUACCAAAACGUGAAAGCGACCUUGCCACUGCAUAUAACCAAAACAUUUUAUACCCACAUAUAGUCAAACACCAAUGUACAUCACAUCGACUAAAAUCUAAUUGUACAACUACAAAUCGCACAUUCGCACACAUCAAACAACACAUCGCAUAUAUUCCUAUCGAAAUAUAAAAACAUUCGAGUUCUUCUCUACUUCUUUUUCUUCUAUAUACGUGUUCAUUCAUACAAUUAAAAUUUUCACGCAUAUAUUCACACACGCACAUCAUCGACCAAUACCUAAAUAAAACAAAUCGCGAAUCAUUCAAGGCGAACAACCUGGCCAAAAUCCGAUCGGAGUUGCACAUGCAUACCAUCAGAUUGGGCUCUUUGCCGACGAGCGACGCGCGAGGCGUGACGGCGACAAGGGCUGCAAGCACGGUACAGUUCAUUACACGAUUUAUUGGUGCGGUCAUUUAAUCGAACACAAAAAGCGCAGGACAGCUAGCAGCUCACCGAGGUUGUUGUUCGCUGCAUAGAUUUAUGACUAGCGGAGCUCAAUGCCGACGUGCUGGGAAACGAUGGCUGCUGGGGCCGUGCAGAUCGAUGGGGCUCGCUGCAUCCCUGCUGAGGUCGAGCGUGGGGGAGACGCCAUGCGGUGAAGGGAGUGGCCGGCGCCGGAGAUGGAGAAACUCGCCAUCCCAGGGAGCUGGGAACAGGGAGCUCGGUCGGCCAUGGCGCUCAUGACAACAGCAACUACCAAGGCGGGUGCCAUGGAUGCUAGGAAGGGGCGCCGAGCUUAGGGGCGACUGGGAGGCGCUGGAGGGAAAGGAACGCUCGGCCCUGGCUGGAGCAGAGGGGCUCGCGUCCGGUCCCGGCAGGCCGAGUUCGGCCAGGGGGAAAAGGGGUGCCCGUGCCCAUGGAGGAGAGGAGCUCGGCUGCUGGGCUGCUCGCCGGCCAUGGAGCUUCUGCCCCUGCGCACGUACAGGAAACAGAGAGAAGGACUGUGUGGGGGAAAAAAUUGAGGACGCCGUGGGGUGGGGCUGGGCGUCCAUGGCAGAAGCUCGGUUGGGGAAGGAGAUGGCAGGGAGCGUCGGCAGGAGGAAGGGAUGGACGCCAUGGACAGGGAGCGUGGAGCUGAGCUCCCUGCGCGCUGGCUGCUGUGCGUGGGAAAACCAGAGAGGAAGAAGGCGUGGGGGAGAAGAAGGCUGAUGGUGGCUGGAAAAACAACAGGGGUGGGAGUGCAAAAUAGCCCAAGUGUAGGGAGAGAGGGCUGCUAUUUAUAGAAGAAGCCCUAGGGUUAGGGUUUUAAAUGGGCUAAAUGGGCUGGGUUGGGCUGGCCCAGACGCUAAAUCGGGCCGCGCUAAUUUAUUUCCAGAGUAAAAAUGCUUCUGUGAAAUCCGUUUCUACGAAGGACAGAGCGAAUUAUAGUUCCGAUGAAUGGACGACUGAGCGAUAAUUCGGCCGAGAGUCUAAUUUGAUUUCGCUCGAAAAUAAUUCACUACGCAUGAUUCGAAAAUAAAUCGUCCCGAGAUACGACCGGCUUUCGGGUUUUUAGUCAGAGAAGGUGAAUCGUGACAUUUUAAAAUCGCGGCCGGAGUGGGUUUUCAAUUCGGUUCAAACAUAAGGUAUUUGGUCGAGUCGGAUAAAAAUUGAUUAGAGGACGACAUAUUGAGUAUUCCGUUUGAGAGUACGGACUUGGAUUAAAAUAGUUGGACAUCGAUCGAACAUCGAGAAAUUGGAUUCGGACACAGCGCGACUAACAACUGUCGAGCGUUUGAUUACAUGAGCUUUAGACGAGAUUUAUAAAUCGAGAUUGAGUAUCGAGUUUUGCAUCCGUGCCAAGAAUUAAAAGUUUUAACACGCUCCAAAAUUGGAUGUUUCCCGCGAUCGAUUAACUCUGAAUUCGGUGAACUUCCAAGAGAAAGCCUGAUAAACAGAGAUAGACACGAUCGAGAAAUAGAAAUUUUCACUGAGCAUUCAAGAUUAGGAUAAUUCUUCCGACAUAACCCGAAAUAGACACCUGGGGUGUCACAGCCUUCCCCCCUUAAAAGGAAUCUCGUCCCGAGAUUCGAAUGAGGAUCUUCAAGGGUGGAGAAGCAUGUAACUCCCAGACUGAUGAUAGAUGCCAAUUCAUAAGAUGUCAUCAGAUGGAUAUGGAAAAUAGAUUUGGACAGAAUAUCGCGACAUAUCGAGACAAAAUGCAGCGAUCACUCUGAGAGAAUGUCCACAAAAGAUAGCACAUCAGCAUAGUCUCGUAACGGAUCACGACUAUUAACCACGAUACCAUCGCGUGCCGAGCAGCUCAACCAUGUGUGCACCAUAGUAGGCUCUCGGUUUCGUCGCGGCACCAUCAGUCGUUAGUCAUGACACAAUUACUAAACGUAACCAAUGAAAAAUUCACUUGGCAUAAUUAGAUGGAGCCCAUGAGAGUAUGGCUCAGAAAAAUAAGAUCAUGACAGGAGUUGAAACAUAGAUUUUUGGCAAAAGAGCAUCACAUGAGAAUUUUUCUUCCACUCAGAGAACUACUUUAUGAUCAACAUGGAGAUUAUCAGAUCAGAUAUUAGCACGAGAUUUGAUAUGAGGAUGAACCGACCAUGAGAUCAAAAUUGAUAAGCUUUUAGAGACAUGAGAGAUCCAAAUAUAACAGCAACAUCCAUUAAUCCACAUGGAUAUGCCGUUUAGAGAUAAGUUGAUAAAACAAGCGUCAUGAUCCUCGGAGAAGGGGCAUGAGAAUGACCAGAAUUGAGAAAUUUUGGUAGAUCAACAUCUGAUACUUGAGAACGAGUUAGAGCAGAUAACCAGAUAAUAGGGCAGAAUCAUUAAAGGAUCCGAAGAUUUGGAUGAUAAGGCCACAACAUGAUUUACAAGGGAAAAAAAUUUACCAGAUCCAGGUGAAAAGAGAGGUGGGCAAACAGGAUCAACUAGGAUGAUCAACAGAAAUGCUAUGAAGUUUUAGGGGCAAGGACUUAUGGAAAGAAACGUGGCCUUGAUAGGGUUUGCGCAACUAGACACCAAACAACAAUUUUUUUUGACGUAAGAAGUGCACAAGGAGACUUGGGUUGGUCUUGCGAUCAAGCUAUGGGGGUUUACAAGUUGUGUAGGUGUAAAUUCAAGUGUAAAACACACAAGGGCUAGAAACACCAAAACAAGCACAUGAAUUUUUUUAAAAAAAAAAGGUUUUACUUGCUAACCACAAGGUUGUUUGGAGUGGGGGUCCUAUUGGCUAGUUAUGGGCAAAAAGGUUGAACAACUACAACAUUCCCUAGAUAGCAAGACAAGAGAAGCACAUAACACAACCUAGUCAAGACUAUCAUGGCACAUAGGAUAAGACAAUUUUUUUUGCAGUUCAUAGCAUUACAUCACAUUAUUCACAAGUUCAUAUUAUUGGAAUAGAGGUGAGAGAAGCAUGUUGAUGCACAAGAAACAAUUAUGCGACAAUCAUGAUGCAUGCUCAUUCUAGUCGUCUUCUCAUACCUAACUAAUUUUCGGGUGCUUCUACAGCAUCCUUAUUAAUAGUAGUAGUAGCCUCUAUGGCCUAUAUACAUAGCCACCUAGCUACCCAUCUAUUUCCUAAGGCUUCACGUCCUAGGUCUAUCCUUAUCGUCCUGACAACUAUCCAACUUGGUUUCUAAGCAAGUUUUACUUUUAAAAAGUUGGUAUUUAUGACUUAUUGACUUCUCUGUAAUGGUAUUCGCUCCGAUACCAGCUGUGGCGGAACCGCCCGAAUUAUUCCAACUUAAGUGCCUAAGUCUCGCCUUAGAGGCUAGACCACACUUAAAUAGGAAUAACUCGUCAGUCCCUCGGAUCUAGUCCGAUAAAGCCACUUAUCCAAGAUCGAAUACCACUAGCUCACUCGAAGGUGAGGCACAGAGAAAUACAAUAAAACAUAAUACCACAAAUUUAAUAAGUAUCAUUAGUGAUUACAUUAUCAGAGUUUCAGAAAUAAUAACCAUAAAUUUUAAUGCAGCGGAAAUAACUAACGGAGAAGAACCGAGUAACAUGGCGAAGCCUGGCCACGCUACUCCUCCUGGUCCUCUCCUGCGGAAGCAGUAACCCUCUCGACCAUCUAUCCCGGUGGCAGGGAUGAAGGCCAAGUCACACCAGCAACCAAUCAUCCUAAGGAGUACCUGCAAAAAAUUAUGCCACAAGCAAGGCUGAGUAUACUAAUACUCAGCUAGACUUACCCGGUGUGAGGAGUCUACUCCUCUACCUCUAGACAUGCAGUUGUUUGGCUGAGGGGUUUGGUUUGCCAAAAGCACUAGCUGAAUCUAAAAUCAAGUUUUAGCUUUUCAAGUUUUAGUAUGCUCCUUUUUAAACUAGAUGAGUACCUAGCUACUCAUACAUGGUAUCAAACAUUUUUAGCAAUCAACAUCUUUUGCCAGUCAACUCAUUUCCACUUAUUACUCAAUGCAGUACAAUGGAUCAAGCAGUCUCAUUAGCUGCGAGAAGCAGACGAUUCGAAUCGAGUUUUUAUCCUUGCAAGGUAAACCUAAACACACGACAUGUAGGGGCACUCCGUCCCCACACACAUCAACCGUCCCCAUCGAUUC